rnacentral:tRNA from 1 species
GAGGGUAUAGUUCAGUGGUAGAGUUUGUGCCUGGCAUGCACAAGGUCCUGGGUUCAAUUCCCCAUACCUCCA